rnacentral:lncRNA from 1 species
UCUAAUCAAACUUGUGAUUGGUCUCAAAAACAGCAAUUGGGGACCUUCAUUGAGGGCUUGAAGCUGGAGAUCCGGGGAGAAGUUAAAGCACGACAACCGUACACACUUAUGGCAGCCAUCUCUUUCGCACGAUUUCAAGAGGAGCGAUUGAACCAUGAAGCCCGGAGGACUAGGGUUGCUCCCCAACGAGCAAUAUCGAAGCCCUCAACCCCCCUACUAUCAACCGAGUCCCUACACUAAAAAGUUUGACAAGAG